rfam:Novosphingobium sp. P6W scaffold2, whole genome shotgun sequence.
ACGGGCCUGCGCGGACGCCCGUUCAGACGCUCUCGUCCAAGUCCGC